GGAAGAGGGGGAGCAAAUACAAUGAAAAAGGGCUGAAGGGCUGAAGUAAGGACAGGGAGAUCACUCACCGGUUACUGACACAGGAGACAUUUGACAAGCUGUGAAGACAUUGGCCAGACAACCAUUGGGCAGAGCUACACAGGAGUGAGACAGUGACAACGUUACCCAGGAGGAUUUGCUCCAUCUUCAUCCUACUUCAGCAUUCACAGGUUCAUCUACCAGAGCCUAGGGAGCAUGUGUCCAGCAG